AAUCCUAUCCGAAAAUGUACUGCGAGUCGAAAAGCACGCGACCGAGCAUAAGCGGCCAGCGUUUGUCAGUUGUAAAUAUUGAUUUACGACGAUGUAAGCGACCUACAGUAUAGAGUGCACUGAAAUCACGGAAGCGUGAAAGUGUUACAGUCGGUGUUUUUACUGCUAUUGUCAAGUUUUAUGGGGGUUAUUAUCUGAUUAACGGUUCUUUUAUGAUAAAGAACACUCAAUUAUGUAACACUUAGGACAAACUUGCACAAAGAUCAAUGAUUAUAUCGAUAUAUAAGGCGGCUACUCUUUAAUCAAUACCAUGAACACCAGACUGCUGCUGAGGCGAUGCAGCUUCGGAAGGAUAUGGCGGCUGCCAGCAAAUCAUCAAUCUCAAAGAAUGAGGCAGCAGUGAAGGCAGCACGCGCAAAUGUGCUGUUCCUGGCAAAGAAGAUGGUUAUAUGUGAUUGUUUAUCAUGUGCAAACCAAUGUUUUUAUGUAUAAAUAAAGUUUAUUAAGACUUA